UACGGGAGGCAGCAGGGGGAAUAUUGCACAAUGGGCGAAAGCCUGAUGCAGCUAUGCCGCGUGUAUGAAGAAGGCCUUAGGGUUGUAAAGUACUUUCAUCGGGGAGGAAAAAACAAAACUAAUAAUUUUAUUUCUUGACGUUACCCGAAAAAGAAGCACCGGCUAACUCCGUGCCAGCAGCCGCGGUAAUACGGAGGGUGCUAGCGUUAAUCAGAAUUACUGGGCGUAAAGAGCACGUAGGUGGUUUUUUAAGUCAGAUGUGAAAUCCCUGGGCUUAACCUAGGAACUGCAUUUUGAAACUGAAAUACUAGAGUAUCGUAGAGGGAGGUAGAAUUCUAGGUGUAGCGGUGAAAUGCGUAGAUAUCUGGAGGAAUACCUGUGGCGAAAGCGGCCUCCUAAACGAAUACUGACACUGAGGGUGCGAAAAGCGUGGGGAGCAAAACAGGGAUUGAUACC
rnacentral:rRNA from 1 species